GAGGGUAUAGCUCAGAGAUGAAGCGCAUGCUUAGCAUGCACGAGGUCAUGGGUUCGAUCCUCAGUACCUCCA
rnacentral:tRNA from 1 species